UGAGCAGUACAUGCAAUCGCGGGCGGGUCAUGCAGAUCCGCGUGAGGAAAGUCCGUGCUCCACAGGGCGAGGGUGCCGGCUAACGGCCGGCGGGGGUGACCCCAGGGAAAGUGCAACAGAAAAUAACAGCCUUAACAGGCAACGGUGAAAAGGUGAGGUAAGAGCUCACCGGCCAAAUGGUAACAUGCGGCGUCAGUGUAAACCCCAUCCGGAGCAAGACCGUAAAGGGAGGUAAGUGCCGAAAGGUAUACUGCCUGAAAGGGAGCUGCCCGUUCCUUCCCGAGAAGGUAGGUCGCUUGAGGCCUGUGGUAACACAGGUCCUAGAAAGAUGAUUGCUUAACACAGAACACGGCUUAAGUGCUGCUCAUGGU
rnacentral:RNase_P_RNA from 1 species